GGCGCACGGGUGCGUAACGCGUAUGCAAUCUACCCUAUACUGAGGGAUAGCCCGGAGAAAUUCGGAUUAACACCUCAUAGUAAUACAUAAUCGCAUGGUUUAGUAUUUAAAGGUCACGGUAUAGGAUGAGCAUGCGUCCCAUUAGCUAGAUGGUAAGGUAACGGCUUACCAUGGCGACGAUGGGUAGGGGGCCUGAGAGGGUGGUCCCCCACACUGGUACUGAGACACGGACCAGACUCAUACGAGAGGCAGCAGUGAGGAAUAUUGGUCAAUGGGCGCAAGCCUGAACCAGCCAUGCCGCGUGCAGGACGAAUGCCCUAUGGGUUGUAAACUGCUUUUAUUUGGGAAUAAACCUAUUUACGUGUAGAUAGCUGAAGGUACCAAAAUGAAUAAGCACCGGCUAACUCCGUGCCAGCAGCCGCGGUAAUACGGAGGGUGCAAGCGUUAUCCGGAAUCAUUGGGUUUAAAGGGUCCGCAGGCGGUGGUAUAAGUCAGUGAUGAAAUCUC
rnacentral:rRNA from 1 species